UGGUGUUAGACUAGAUGAUGAUGGUGUUAACUAGAUGAAGGUGGUGUUUAACUAGAUGAAUGUGGUGUUAGACUAGAUGAAGGUGGUGUUAACUAGAUGAAGGUGGUGUUAACUAGAUGAAGGUGGUGUUAGACUAGAUGAAGGUGGUGUUAACUAGAUGAAGGUGGUGUUAAACUAGAUGAAGGUGGUGUUUAACUAGAUGAAGGUGGUGUUAAACUAGAUGAAGGUGGUGUUAGACUAGAUGAAGGUGGUGUUAAACUAGAUGAAGGUGGUGUUUAGACUAGAUGAAGGUGGUGUUUAACUAGAUGAAGGUGGUGUUAAACUAGAUGAAGGUGGUGUUAGACUAGAUGAAGGUGGUGUUUAGACUAGAUGAAGGUGGUGUUUGACUAGAUGACGGUGGUGUUAACUAGAUGAAGAUGGUGUUAGACUAGAUGAAGGUGGUGUUAAACUAGAUGAAGGUGGUGUUAGACUACAUGAAGGUGGUGUUAGACUACAUGAAGGUGGUGUUAGACUACAUGAAGGUGGUGUUAGACUAGAUGAUGGUGGUGUUAACUGACCUAUAGUGGAGAUGGAAGGUGGUGUUAGGGUGGUGUUAACUGACCUAUAGUGGAGAUGAAGCUGGUGUUAGACUAGAUGAAGGUGGUGUUAGGGUGGUGUUAACUGACCUAUAGUGAGAUGAAGGUGGUGUUAGGACUAGAUGAAGGUGGUGUUAGGGUGGUGUUGACUGACCUAUAGUGGAGAUGAAGGUGGUGUUAUCUCACCUAUAGUGGAGAUGAAGGUGGUGUUAGGGUUAGACUAGAUGAAGGUGGUGUUAGGGUGGUGUUAUCUCACCUAUAGUGGAGAUGAAGGUGGUGUUAGGGUGGUGUUAUCUCACCUAUAGUGGAGAUGAAGGUGGUGUUAGGGUGGUGUUAACUGACCUAUAGUGGAGAUGAAGGUGGUGUUAGGGUGGUGUUAGGGUGGUGUUAGGGUGGUGUGACUGACCUAUAGUGGAGAUGAAGGUGGUGUUAGGGUGGGUGUAGGGUGGUGUUAUCUCACCUAUAGUGGAGAUGAAGGUG